UACGUAGGGACCGAGCGUUGUCCGGAAUCAUUGGGCGUAAAGAGCGUGUAGGCGGCUCGCUAAGUCUUGCGUGAAAUCUCGGGGCUCAACCCCGAGCGGUCGUGAGAAACUGGCGGGCUAGAGUGCGGGAGAGGAGAGUGGAAUUCCUGGUGUAGCGGUGAAAUGCGCAGAUAUCAGGAGGAACACCGGUGGCGAAGGCGGUUCUCUGGGCAUGUCCUGACGCUGAGGAGCGAAAGUGUGGGGAGCGAACAGG
rnacentral:rRNA from 1 species